CGCAGAGGAAAACAGAUGGGACGAGAAAAUGUUUGAAAAACAAUGGUCUUUGAUAUGAUCAUUUCAAUUCACUCAUUGACUCAUUUUUCUAUGUUGAUUGCAUUAAAACCUUUCAAAUCGUUGGCCUACAUUAUGAAUACAGGAAUCUGUGGAAAUUCGCCACUUUAUUGCUGUCCUAAUUAUUAUAAAGAGAACAAUUCAUGCAUAGAAUGUCCUUCGGGGAGCUAUCAGAACAAUUGCUCUAAGAAAUGUCCAAUAAAUUAUUAUGGAAGACUUUGUUUGGAGAUAUGUAACUGUGCCUCUGAUGAGACCUGUGACACAGAAAAAGG